rnacentral:rRNA from 1 species
GUUUCCGUAGGUGAACCUGCGGAAGGAUCAUUACCG